AAUUGGAGGGCAAGUCUGGUGCCAGCAGCCGCGGUAAUUCCAGCUCCAAUAGCGUAUAUUAAAGUUGUUGCAGUUAAAAAGCUCGUAGUUGAAUUUCGGGAUCAAUAUUUCGGUCAUGCCGUUGGUAUGCACUGUUAUCAUUGAUUUCUCACCUUCUAAAGAACCGUAAUGCCAUUAAUUUGGUGUUACGGGGAAUUAGGACUGUUACCUUGAAAAAAUUAGAGUGUUUAGAGCAGGCUCACGCUUGAAUACAUUAGCAUGGAAUAAUGAAAUAGGACAUCCGAUUCUAUUUUGUUGGUUUCUAGGAUCGAUGUAAUGAUUAAUAGGGAUAGUUGGGGGCAUUAGUAUUCAAUUGUCAGAGGUGAAAUUCUUGGAUUUAUUGAAGACUAACUACUGCGAAAGCAUUUGCCAAGGAUGUUUUCAUUAAUCAAGAACGAAAGUUAGGGGAUCGAAGACGAUCAGAUACCGUCGUAGUCUUAACCAUAAACUAUGCCGACUAGGGAUCGGAUGAUGUUAAUUUUUUAAUGACUCAUUCGGCGCCUUACGGGAAACCAAAGUGU
rnacentral:rRNA from 1 species